rnacentral:rRNA from 1 species
AAAUAUAGAUUUAUUUAUUUAUUUUUGUUAAUAAGAUAAUAGAAUGUUUUUGUAUAAUAUAGAUAGAAUUUUUUUAAUUAUAUAGAAUUAGUAAUGUGAGUGAAUAUUGAAAUAUUUUGAAAAUUAUUUAUUGAUAAGAAAAAUUGAUUUUUUGUACCUUUUGUAUCAGGGUUAAUUAAAAUAGUUUUAAUUAAUUUUAAUGUCCCGAAUUAGUAAAAGUUAUUUUCAUAUAAAUUUUAAUGUUUAAUAAUUAUUUAUAAUAUGAAGAUGGAAUAGAAAUUUUAUUCGUUUAUUAAUAUAUCUGGUUUUUUUAGAAGUUAAUAUAAUUAAUUUAAUUAAUUUUAUUUUUAAUAUUUGAUUUUUGAGUAGAGUUGAUUAAAAAGUUUGAUAGGGAUAAGCUUAUUAAAUUGUUUUAUAAUUAUGUAUAUAUUUAUUUUAUUAAUAGAAUUAGAAUUGUUUAUUAAAAAUAGUAUUUUAUAAUUAAUAUUUAUGAUAAUAUAAUUUAUUUUUAAUUUAAAUUUUCUAUAAAAAUUUUAUUUAUAAUUUUUAAAAAUAAGAAAUAAUGAUUAAAUUAGUAUAUUAAUUUUAAUAAUUAGGUUAUAAGGUUAGAUUAUUUAAAGGAAUUCGGCAAUAUUAAUUUUUCGCCUGUUUAUUAAAAACAUCGUUUUUUGAAUUUAUUAUAUAAGAUUUGACCUGCCCAAUGAGAGUUUUAAAUGGCCGCGGUAUUUUGACCGUGCAAAGGUAGCAUAAUCAUUAGUUUCUUGAUUAGAAGCUGGAAUGAAUGGUUGGACGAGAAAAUGACUGUCUUUAAAUAAAAUGAUAUAAAUUUAUUUUUGAGUUAAAAAGCUCAAAUAUCUAUGAAAGACGAGAAGACCCUAUAGAGUUUGAUUUAUGUAAUAAUUAUUAUAAUGUUAGUAAAAUAAUUUAUAUAUUUAUAUAUGAAUUUGGUUGGGGUGAUUGAAAGAUUAAAUUAACUCUUUUUAUUUUUAAUUAUUGAUUUAUAUAUUUAUGAUCCAAAUUUUUUGAUUAAAAGAAUAAAUUACCUUAGGGAUAACAGCGUAAUUUUUAUGGAGAGUUCUUAUCAAUAUAAAAGUUUGCGACCUCGAUGUUGGAUUAAAAUUAAUUUUUGGUGGAGAAGCUGAAUAAUUAAGUCUGUUCGACUUUUAAAAUUUUACAUGAUCUGAGUUUAAACCGGUGUGAGCCAGGUUGGUUUCUAUCUUUAUAAAGUUUUGAUUUUUUAGUACGAAAGGACCAAAAAUUGGAUAUUUUUAUUUAUUUUUAGAAUAAUAUUAU